rnacentral:rRNA from 1 species
GACGAACGCUGGCGGCGUGCUUAACACAUGCAAGUCGAACGGGAUGAUUUAGAAGCUUGCUUUUAGAGAAUCUAGUGGCAAACGGGUGAGUAACACGUAGACAACCUGCCGACAGGAUGGGGACAACAUUCCGAAAGGAAUGCUAAUACCGAAUGAAGUCAGAGAAGGGCAUCCUUUUCUGAUGAAAGAUGGCCUCUAUUUAUAAGCUAUCACCUGUCGAUGGGUCUGCGUCUGAUUAGCUGGUUGGUGAGGUAACGGCUCACCAAGGCGACGAUCAGUAGCCGGUCUGAGAGGAUGAACGGCCACAUUGGGACUGAGACACGGCCCAGACUCCUACGGGAGGCAGCAGUGGGGAAUCUUCCGCAAUGGGCGCAAGCCUGACGGAGCAACGCCGCGUGAGUGAAGAAGGUCUUCGGAUCGUAAAGCUCUGUUGAUGGGGACGAACGUGCGAAAGGGUGAAUAAUCCCUUGAA